rnacentral:rRNA from 1 species
AUUGAACGCUGGCGGCAGGCCUAACACAUGCAAGUCGAGCGAGCGGCGGACGUGAGGGUAAUGUAUGGGGAUCUUCGCGAUAGAGGAGGAUAAGUACUGGAAACUGUUGCUAAUACCGCAUACUUUAGGCUGAGUCCGUAUGGGAUGAGCGAGUAGGUGGGGUAAAGCAUCACCAAGGCGACGAUCUCUAACUGGUCUGAGAGGAUGAUCAGUCACACUGGGACUGAGACACGGCCCAGACUCCUACGGGAGGCAGCAGUGGGGAAUAUUGGACAAUGGGCGAAAGCCUGAUGCAGCCAUGCCGCGUGUAUGAAGAAGGUCUUCGGGUUGUAAAGCACUUUAAGUGGGGAGGCGUUACCCGCAGAAGAAGCACCGGCUAACUACGUGCCAGCAGCCGCGGUAAUUC